rnacentral:tRNA from 1 species
GGUUUAGUGGUAGAACAUUGGUGCGUAGAGCCAAAGGUCCCGGGUUCGAUUCCCGG